rnacentral:rRNA from 1 species
UACGGAGGGAGCUAGCGUUGUUCGGAAUUACUGGGCGUAAAGCGCGCGUAGGCGGCUUUGUAAGUUAGAGGUGAAAGCCUGGAGCUCAACUUCAGAAUUGCCUUUAAGACUGCAUCGCUUGAAUCCGGGAGAGGUGAGUGGAAUUCCGAGUGUAGAGGUGAAAUUCGUAGAUAUUCGGAAGAACACCAGUGGCGAAGGCGGCUCACUGGACCGGCAUUGACGCUGAGGUGCGAAAGGCGUGGGGAGCAAACAGG